AACGAACGCUGGCGGCAUGCCUAACACAUGCAAGUCGAACGAGACCUUCGGGUCUAGUGGCGCACGGGUGCGUAACGCGUGGGAACCUGCCCUUAGGUUCGGAAUAACUCCCCGAAAGGGGUGCUAAUACCGGAUAAUGUCUUCGGACCAAAGAUUUAUCGCCUUUGGAUGGGCCCGCGUUGGAUUAGCUAGUUGGUAGGGUAAAAGCCUACCAAGGCGACGAUCCAUAGCUGGUCUGAGAGGAUGAUCAGCCACACUGGGACUGAGACACGGCCCAGACUCCUACGGGAGGCAGCAGUGGGGAAUAUUGGACAAUGGGCGAAAGCCUGAUCCAGCAAUGCCGCGUGAGUGAUGGAGGCCUUAGGGUUGUAAAGCUCUUUUACCCGGGAUGAUAAUGACAGUACCGGGAGAAUAAGCGCCGGCUAACUCCGUG
rnacentral:rRNA from 1 species